GACGAACGCUGGCGGCGUGCUUAACACAUGCAAGUCGAACGGAAAGGCCCUGCUUUUGUGGGGUGCUCGAGUGGCGAACGGGUGAGUAACACGUGAGUAACCUGCCCUUGACUUUGGGAUAACUUCAGGAAACUGGGGCUAAUACCGGAUAGGAGCUCCUGCUGCAUGGUGGGGGUUGGAAAGUUUCGGCGGUUGGGGAUGGACUCGCGGCUUAUCAGCUUGUUGGUGGGGUAGUGGCUUACCAGGGCUUUGACGGGUAGCCGGCCUGAGAGGGUGACCGGCGACAUGGGGACUGAGAGACGGACCAGACGCGUACGGGAGGCAGCAGGGGGGAAUAUUGCACAAUGGGCGGAAGCCUGAGGCAGCAACGCCGCGUGCGGGAUGACGGCCUUCGGGUUGUAAACCGCUGUCGCCUGUGACGAAGCGGGAGUGACGGUAAUGGGUAAAGAAGCACCGGCUAACUACGUG
rnacentral:rRNA from 1 species